UGACGAGUGGCGGACGGGUGAGUAACGCGUAGGAAUUUACCUUUCGGUGGGGGAUAGCCCGGUGAAAACCGGAUUAAUACCGCAUAAGCCCUACGGGGGAAACGAGGCCUCUUCUUGAAAGCUUCGACCGAUAGAUGAGCCUGCGUUAGAUUAGCUAGUUGGUAGGGUAAUGGCCUACCAAGGCGACGAUCUAUAGCUGGUCUGAGAGGAUGAUCAGCCACACUGGAACUGAGACACGGUCCAG
rnacentral:rRNA from 1 species